rnacentral:pre_miRNA from 1 species
CAAAUACUCCCUCCGUCCGGAAAUACUUGUCAUCAAAAUGGAUAAAAGGAAAUGUAUCUAGAUGUAUUUUAGUUUUAGAUACAUCUCUUUUUAUCCAUUUUGAUGACAAGUAUUUUCGGACGGAGGGAGUAUUUU